UUCUUUUUAUUUCAAAAAAAAAAAAGAAAAAAAAAUCUCCUUUUUUUCCCUUUUAUCCCACGCGUCACUACUCAAUGUGGAAUUUUUACAAUUGUCCCUCAGUGCUUUACAGGGUUGAUCAACCUAUAGGUUCUCAUUUUUAAAGGUGGCUUGUUAUUCCUCUCUAUGUUCAGUUUCUGAGAUAGUUUGUGGUUAAUGGAGUAACUUGUGUGUCUGCGAGACUUAUCUAGUAACAAUUUGAGUGGGCAAUUGCCUGUUGCUUUUCAAAAUUUGAUUCAUCUUUCAACCUUAUAAGUUUCAAUUAUAAUCCAUCCCAAUUACACUUAUUUCCUUCUAGUGAAUUAAGCUAACUACUUAUUUAGCAGGCAUUUGUAGGAAAAUUAGCUGUUUGGGACGUUUGAUGUUCUACAAGAUCUUCCCCUGAAAGGUUUGUAUUAUUCCCAAACACGUCUCUUUUAAUACAUUCAACUACCAACUCAUAAAAUUGUAUUACUAAUAUAAUUGAGCUGAACUUGGGUAAUUUACUUAUAUGAAUUGAGCUAAACUUGUUAAUCUUAUUGAGGAUUUGAUUAGUAAUUAAAUUUAAUUGUUAAUUUUAGGGUUAUCAUUUGUUUAUUUAUAGUUUAGCCAAUGGACUUAUUGUUUAAUUCACAUCUUUAGUGCUGUGCAACUAUGUACUUUUCACUGACACCCUGAAGGGGAUGGCAAAAAAAGAGUUCCCUUUUACAACACACAUUGUAGUUACUUGUUUUAUUAUUUCAGCUGUGAUGCUAGAGUUAACUGUUGUUAUUCUUAUUUAUAAGUUAUUCAUGGAUUUCAAAUUAUUUAUAAUCAUAAUGUGAUUAUAUUUUUAUAUUUUAGUGCAGAUAUGACUUUGCAAAUGAUGAAGACGUUAUUGAAGUAACUUUGUUGGGGCGAAGUGUUCAAAAGUAAUUUGGAA
rnacentral:misc_RNA from 1 species